rnacentral:rRNA from 1 species
ACUCAAAUGAAUAGACGGGGGCCCGCACAAGCGGUGGAUGAUGUGGAUUAAUUCGAUGCAACGCGAAAAACCUUACCUACCCUUGACAUGUCAGGAACCUCUCAGAGACGAGAGGGUGCCCGAAAGGGAACCUGAACACAGGUGCUGCAUGGCUGUCGUCAGCUCGUGUCGUGAGAUGUUGGGUUAAGUCCCGCAACGAGCGCAACCCUUGUCCUUAGUUGCUACCAUUUAGUUGAGCACUUUAAGGAGACUGCCGGUGACAAACCGGAGGAAGGUGGGGAUGACGUCAAGUCCUCAUGGCCCUUAUGGGUAGGGCUUCACACGUCAUACAAUGGUCGGUACAGAGGGUUGCCAAGCAGCGAUGCGGAGCCAAUCCCGAAAAGCCGAUCGUAGUCCGGAUUGUAGUCUGCAACUCGACUACAUGAAGUCGGAAUCGCUAGUAAUCGCGGAUCAGCAUGUCGCGGUGAAUACGUUCCCGGGCCUUGUACACACCGCCCGU